GGGAUAUUGGUCAAUGGGGGUAACCCUGAACCAGCCAUGCCGCGUGAGGGAAUGAGGCCCUACGGGUCGUGAACCUCUUUUGCCCGGGGACAAUACGGAGCACGAGAUGCCCCGUUGAGGGUACCGGGCGAAUAAGCAUCGGCUAACUCCGUGCCAGCAGCCGCGGUAAUACGGAGGAUGCGAGCGUUAUCCGGAUUCAUUGGGUUUAAAGGGUGCGCAGGCGGCUCGGCAAGUCAGCGGUGAAAGCCCGGGGCCCAACCCCGGAAGUGCCGUUGAUACUGUCGGGCUGGAAUGCGGUCGAGGCGGGCGGAACGUGGCGUGUAGCGGUGAAAUGCGUAGAUAUGCCACAGAACGCCGAUAGCGAAGGCAGCUCGCCAGGCCUGCAUUGACGCUCGGGCACGAAAGCGUGGGGAUCGAACA
rnacentral:rRNA from 1 species